rnacentral:rRNA from 1 species
UCUUCGGGAUAGGUAGUAGUUAAGGUGAUGGCUUAACUAGCUUAAAAUUCUCGUAGUCGAAGCUGAAAGGUUGAUCGACCACAUUGGGUCUGAAAAAACCCCAAUGCAAGUUAGUACAGCAGUGAGGAAUCUUGGUCAAUGGCCUAACGGCUGAACUGGCAACUUGGAGAAGUGGCAAGUCUUAUUUUUGAUUAUAAUUUUAGAUAAUCUAUAAGAUUGUAUUAAAAUUGAAUAAAGCUUUGUUUAUAUAUUGAUAAUGACAAUAUAUAUAUCGUGUCUUGACUAAUUACGUGCCAGCAGUCGCGGUAAUACGUAAGAGACUAGUGUUAUUCAUCUUAAUUAGGUUUAAAGGGUACCUAGACGGUCAAUAUAGCUUCUAGAAUGUUAGUACUUGACUAGAGUUUGAUGUAAGGGGGCAGUACUUGAGGAGGAGAGAUGAAAUUCUAUUAUACCAAAGGGACUCGGUAAAGGCGAAGGCAGCCCUUUAUGUAAAAACUGACGUUGAAGGACGAAGGCACAGAGCACAAACAGGAUUAGAUACCCAAGUAGUCUUUGCAGUAAAUGAUGAAUGCCAUAGGUUUAGAUUAA